rnacentral:rRNA from 1 species
CCUACGGGCGGCAGCAGUGGGGAAUAUUGCACAAUGGGGGAAACCCUGAUGCAGCGACGCCGCGUGAGCGAAGAAGUAUUUCGGUAUGUAAAGCUCUAUCAGCAGGGAAGAAAAUGACGGUACCUGAGUAAGAAGCUCCGGCUAAAUACGUGCCAGCAGCCGCGGUAAUACGUAGGGAGCAAGCGUUAUCCGGAUUUACUGGGUGUAAAGGGAGCGCAGGCGGCCUUGCAAGUCUGAGGUGAAAUGCCGGGGCUCAACCCCGGGACUGCAUUGGAAACUGUACGGCUGGAGUGUAGGAGAGGCAGGUGGAAUUCCUAGUGUAGCGGUGAAAUGCGUAGAUAUUAGGAGGAACACCAGUGGCGAAGGCGGCCUACUGGACGAUAACUGACGCUGAGGCUCGAAAGCGUGGGGAGCAAACAGGAUUAGAUACCCGAGUAGUC